UCUCUCUCUCUCUCACCCCCUCUCUCUCUCUCCCCUCUCCAGAGAGGGGGGGGAGAGAGAGGGGGGAGAGAGAGAGAGAGG
rnacentral:miRNA from 1 species